GUCUAUCUGAAGAGUCCCAGAUAGGACUAAACGCGCGUCCAGGAU
rnacentral:hammerhead_ribozyme from 1 species